rnacentral:rRNA from 1 species
CUACGGGCGGCAGCAGUGGGGAAUAUUGCACAAUGGGCGCAAGCCUGAUGCAGCGACGCCGCGUGAAGGAUGAAGGUCUUCGGAUUGUAAACUUCUAUCAGCAGGGAAGAAAUAAAUGACGGUACCUGACUAAGAAGCUCCGGCUAACUACGUACCAGCAGCCGCGGUAAUACGUAGGGAGCGAGCGUUAUCCGGAUUUACUGGGUGUAAAGGGUGCGUAGGCGGCCUGGUAAGUUAGAAGUGAAAUUUUGGGACUCAACCCCAGAGCUGCUUCUAAAACUGCUGGGCUAGAGUGCAGGAGAGGAAAGCGGAACUCCACGUGUAGCGGUGAAAUGCGUAGAGAUGUGGAGGAACACCAGUAGCGAAGGCGGCUUUCUGGACUGUAACUGACGCUGAGGCACGAAAGCGUGGGGAGCAAACAGGAUUAGAUACCCCUGUAGUC